GAUGAACGCUGGCGGCGUGCCUAAUACAUGCAAGUCGAGCGACGUGGGGACGGGUGAGUAACACGUGGAUAACCUCCUCUAAGACCGGGUUAACUUCGGGAUACCUGAGCUAAACCGGUUACUUUUUGAUGGAUCCGCGAUGCAUUAGCUAGUUUGUAAGUUAACGGCUUACCAAGGCAACGAUGCAUAGCCGACCUCGGAGGGUGAUCGGCCACACUGGGACUGAGACACGGUCCAGACUCCUACGGGAGGCAGCAGUAGGGAAUCUUCCGCAAUGGGCGAAAGCCUGACGGUGCAACGCCGCGUGAGUGAAGAAGGUCUUCGGAUCGUAAAGCUCUGUUAUUAGGGAAGCGGUACCUAAUCAGAAAGCCACGGCUAACUACGUGCCAGCAGCCGCGGUAAUUC
rnacentral:rRNA from 1 species